rnacentral:rRNA from 1 species
ACGAAGGUGGCAAGCGUUGUUCGGAAUUACUGGGCGUAAAGCGCGUGUAGGCGGCUCUUCAAGUCAGGCGUGAAAGCCCUGAGCUCAACUCAGGAACUGCGUUUGAUACUGUCGAGCUAGAGUGUGGAAGGGGCAAUCGGAAUUCCGUGUGUAGCGGUGAAAUGCGUAGAUAUCAAGAGGAACACCUGAGGUGAAGACGGGUUGCUGGGCUGACACUGACGCUGGGGCGCGAAAGCCAGGGGAGCAAACGGGA